GCGUGAGUGACGAAGGCCUUAGGGUUGUAAAACUCUUUUGGUAGGGACGAUAAUGACGGUACCUACAGAAUAAGCCCCGGCUAACUUCGUGCCAGCAGCCGCGGUAAUACGAAGGGGGCUAGCGUUGUUCGGAAUCACUGGGCGUAAAGCGCACGUAGGCGGACUGGUCAGUUGGGGGUGAAAUCCCAGGGCUCAACCCUGGAACUGCCUCCAAUACUGCCAGUCUUGAGUCCGAGAGAGGUGAGUGGAAUUCCUAGUGUAGAGGUGAAAUUCGU
rnacentral:rRNA from 1 species